GUACUGUGACUGCAUUUGCUCUUUCGGUUUCACUUUGGUACUUGCUGCACAGAAUGCUGCCACUCCAGCUGGCUAGGUCGCUCUGGACUGGUGACAGAUUUCACUGUGACCCCGCAGUAAAUCAGUUAGGAGAUCUAACGUCAACCUGAAAGGCCAGAUUCCAACAUCAAGUGCAGAAGGAAUCCAGGUUUGACCCUCUGCCGUCUACAGAGAUGUGUGAGCACCCACCCAAGGCUACUUCCAGCCUCCAUGGGAGUUCUUGAAGCUCUUCUUUAUAUGUUUAACUCUGUUCUAGACCAUUCACUUCUGCAAAAUUUGAAAGUCCACACUCUGCAGCUCCAAAGGCCUGAGAUGGUCGGAGUAGAGCACGUGAUGCUCAUUUUGGACACAGAGGAUUAGAGACAUGAAGGGGAAAGAGAGGUGGGGAUUUUUCUCCUCCUGAGCAAGAAUCACUUUCAGAUGACUUUGUUUCUAGUUGCUGGCAGCUGUAGCCAGGAGCCAACCUGACAGCCACUUCUACCCAAACCUUCUCCCCACGAUGCUGCAUAUCAAUACAUGUUCAGUGUUCCAGGGAAAUCCCAGGGAGAGGGAGAGAGAGAGAGAGAGAGAGAGAGAGAGAGAGAGAGAGAGAGAGAGGCUGGAGGAGGGCAGCAAGUGCUGGGAACUGAGCUCAAGUCUUCUGUAACAACACCACGCCCUCUUAAAUUCUGAGCCACGCCUCCAGCCAGCUUCCCCACCUGUGAUCAUUCCAAGUCACAUUUCAUGGAUGGUUGUUUUCUCUGGCCCAGUGUGUUUUGUCUUCAAGAAGACUCGUGGAAGACUGUAAAAAGCACAGGUUUUUCAUAACUUUGAGAUCACCUCACUGGACUGAGUAAGUAAUCCCAGAAUUCUAAUUUGAAGCUGAUCAUUCAUAAAGCUGAAUCCAAGAAGGUACAUUCCUAGGAAAUGCUUUGGCAGUGUUUUGUCCUGAUCUGGCUCAGUCACUGUGGGAAAAACAGACUCAUUCUCUGCACUCAGAAGGGUUUCUCUAUAGUCGGAUAUAGAUGCUGAAUGAAGACACGUUUGGGGAAUUGCCUAGGUGAUAUGUCUCAUCUGUUUGCCUAAUGGAUGUAAGCAUUAAAGUCAUGGGAUAAAUCCAUGCCUAUGGAGGACCAAAGAGAUGUUUAGAUAAAUUGGAAAAAAAAAAAGGUUGGAGUGAUGCAAACAUACUGUGCUGGUUUGUUGACUGUUUCUCGGGUAGUAACCCACAACCAAUAGUUUCCUUGUUUUUGUGAAAUAUUUUUUACUAUCAGGUGUCAAUUCCCAAAUCACAGGUUUGAUUUUCCGUAUCACUCGGAUACCUGUGCAUCAGUACUCUGGGUGUUUGUUUUCUGGAUCCCUAGAAACACCUGCUGCCACUGAAGUCAGUCCCUGGUUCUCAGCCCCUUUGCAUCUGAAUUCACCCCAUGAGGUCUUUGUCCUCUAAGUGGGUCCUCAUUCUUUUCUUCUUCCAUUUUUUUCAUCUAAAAGUGGACCAGUGCAUGUAAUUCCAGCCUCCUUCCAUCACACACUGCCAAGCAGCCAAGCCAAAGAAACAAAAACAAAACAAAGCAGAAUUUCCUGGAGUGAACUCUACUUCUCUGUAACUCAGAAGCUGAAAGCACACUGAACAACCUCCUUG
rnacentral:lncRNA from 1 species